AGAGUUUGAUCAUGGCUCAGAUUGAACGCUGGCGGCAUGCCUUACACAUGCAAGUCGAACGGCAGCAUGAUCUAGCUUGCUAGAUUGAUGGCGAGUGGCGAACGGGUGAGUAAUACAUCGGAACGUGCCCUGUAGUGGGGGAUAACUAGUCGAAAGAUUAGCUAAUACCGCAUACGACCUGAGGGUGAAAGUGGGGGACCGCAAGGCCUCAUGCUAUAGGAGCGGCCGAUGUCUGAUUAGCUAGUUGGUGAGGUAAAGGCUCACCAAGGCGACGAUCAGUAGCUGGUCUGAGAGGACGAUCAGCCACACUGGGACUGAGACACGGCCCAGACUCCUACGGGAGGCAGCAGUGGGGAAUUUUGGACAAUGGGCGAAAGCCUGAUCCAGCAAUGGCCGCGUGUGUGAAGAAGGCCUUCGGGUUGUAAAGCACUUUUGUCCGGAAAGAAAUGGCUCUGGUUAAUACCUGGGGUCGAUGACGGUACCGGAAGAAUAAGGACCGGCUAACUACGUGCCAGCAGCCGCGGUAAUACGUAGGGUCCAAGCGUUAAUCGGAAUUACUGGGCGUAAAGCGUGCGCAGGCGGUUGUGCAAGACCGAUGUGAAAUCCCCGAGCUUAACUUGGGAAUUGCAUUGGUGACUGCACGGCUAGAGUGUGUCAGAGGGGGGUAGAAUUCCACGUGUAGCAGUGAAAUGCGUAGAGAUGUGGAGGAAUACCGAUGGCGAAGGCAGCCCCCUGGGAUAACACUGACGCUCAUGCACGAAAGCGUGGGGAGCAAACAGGAUUAGAUACCCUGGUAGUCCACGCCCUAAACGAUGUCAACUAGUUGUUGGGGAUUCAUUUCCUUAGUAACGUAGCUAACGCGUGAAGUUGACCGC
rnacentral:rRNA from 1 species